GGUCUUUUUUACCAUAAUGAUUCUGUGAUUCUAUGAUACUAUAGAUCAGCUGUAGGAGCUGCCCAUGGCUCUGAUUGCUGUUUGCAUGGUAACCCCACAGCAGCGUACACAGAAUCGUCACCCCAGCUCAGCUCAUGUGCUUGCUGUUUUGCUUUUACCUUUGCUGUUCUGAAGGUGAACAACCUCUUGCACCCACACAGAAUUCAAGGGGUGAGAAAAUGUAUCAGCCACAAUGAUAGAAAAACAGUGCAGGCCUACGUGGGCAGGAAAGUAAUCUGCUUUGCAGAAGGGCCGAGGCAAAUGUUGGAAGGAAGAAAGAGAACAAGAGGGAAGGACAGACAUCUGCCAUGCAGCUCUGUUGUGUAACAGAAGCAAUAUGUAUGUUCGGACCAGAGCACACACUUGUUUACUGGGGCAAUGCUGCUGUCACGCACCAAACAAAACCGAACAUCAAAGCCACCGAGCACUUGCUAAGCAGCAAGUGUGACCAUUCAUCAUGUAGGGCUACAUACAUGUUAUUCUGCAGUGGAAUGCAGUGUGUUGUGCUAGAACAUAGUGGCAGACAAUUCUAAAUAUGCUGAAUGAUGGAGUGCCUUUGUGCAGGGGGAGAACAUCAGUUAGCUAUUACACUGUGACCAACAUGCUGCUUGGGUUCUUAUUCAAGUCUCUCUGCCAAAGCUGUGACAUUAAAGCUUUCCUUGCAAUCUUGUGGUGGGUAAUUUUAUUUUUAUAUUUUAACUUGAUGCACUCUAUCCUGAUACCUUUGUUGAUGUCACUUCUGUGGCUCGGCACUUGUGGAACAAGAAAUGGCUGAGUAGAUGCACGGGUUCUGGUUGGAGAUCAUGCAGACAGCACAUUGCAAGCUUUCUUUAGAGGACAGCACGUUGGUUAUUAUUAAACCAGAAAACAUAUGUGAAUAAUUGAGGAAAAGCAUCCAGCGUUUAGCUCAGAAAGCCAGCUUGCUGAGAAUAAUGUAUCUCUGCAUUCUGACCUGUUGCUGACAACAAAUAUAUUUCACUGUUACCUGGAUAGCAGUGAUGAGAUAUUUUUUUUUCUCGUCUAAAUGAAAGCCAGUUGGGAGAAGCUGGCAACAGACAAAUGAUGCUCAUUCCACCCCUGCUUUUACUUAAUGGCUGAUAUCAAGAUCCUCAGCAUUCACUGGUGACAUUACUAUUAAAAACAUAUUUCUUAUCUGGCUCUUUUCUUCCUACAAAUCGAUCAUGGAAAUAAAUCUGUGCCAAUGGAGCAGUGAGCAUGCAACCGUGGGAAGGAAGAGGACUGCAGCCUGCUAUGUGGUGCACCUGCCUGCUGCUGCCAAGCAUUACCUGCAUCCAGGGACUGCAAACUCCAUCCCCAGAGAGCCAAAAUGCAAUGGACUCCAUGGGGACAGUGCAAAACCCUAUGGAUAAAGGAGGUUCUGUUAGCCCCUGUGUGUCCCACACAUUCAGGAGGAUGUGGAAGGUCUCUCAGGUUGUUGAUCUCUGCUGACGCACUGGCAGCACCAGGAUAGUGGGUAGAUGAUUCUUGAGGUGAUGUGCAGUGUAUCAGUAUAUCCAUGUGUCAUUACAUCAAUAUGUGGCUGCGGGAAAUUGCUGAGUGCAAAAUAAUCUCCGUCAAGAUCUGCGUGAUUGUUGAUCGGUACAUGCAUGAUAUACGAUAGAUACACCAUCCUAUCCAGAUCAGGUCUCCAGGAUUUAAAUAUAUAUGAUGAAUUAAAAUUUUGUGUGAAAUUCUAGCUGGUUCCUCUGGUGACUAUUGGAAAACAUGAAGCCUUUCAUCCCCAGAAAGGCUUUUAUUGGGGUAGAUGAGUAAGUGCUUCACAGCCUUUUCCAUUACGGGGGAGAACAUUUAAACCACCAGUGUGGUUGAGAAGAAAUGAAAUUUCCUUUCCAGAUUGGCUUAAGGUGCUAAAAAAUGCUGUAAUUGUUGUUAGUGCCAUACAGACAAGGUGAGACAGCAUGGAGAAUGAGAUGAAAUUUAACGAUAAGUGAUAAUGUCAGCUCUGUUCACAUUAACCAAGCAUAGUUUGAGGUUAUGUUUCUCUUCUAGUUUAUCUGAAUUUCUCUGUUUUUAUCUUAUUUUAUUAUGUGUCCUCAGGGCAUGGACAAAACUUUACCUGAUUGUCUGGAGCCAGCACAGAAAGGCAUAACUUUGGGCUUCUUAAGAUCUACAGAUGGGAACCUCCUGGCAGCGUGUGCAGAAACAAUCAGGCCCACAAGGACAGCACAGGAUGAAUCAAUCAUACAAGAUGGAUGAGGCCACUGGGUGAUGCCUGGGUGAAAACCGCUUCCAGAUUUCACACCAGCUUCGCUUUUGUGCACUGGCUGAAAACACAGCUUUAUUGCAUGACCAUAAGUAAUGCAGGAAGGCACUCACCACUCCAUUUUGUGCAGCUUUUGUUUGUGAUAGUUUUAAUUUACUGCUGAAGUGAAUCCGAGACUGAUAAUUUUAUGAUUUUUUUUACCAAGAAAAGACAUUAAGCUACUUACUUUGGCUGCACUUCCUACUCUGCAGAAAUUAUUUAUCCAAGCACAGCGGCAAAGUGGGUCAGGGGAGGAAUAAUAAUAAUAAUAAUAAAAAAAAGAAACUGCCCACAAAAAUCUUGAAUCCCUUGCAGAAGUUGGAUUAAGGCUCAAGAUACUGGAUGCAAACCGCUGCCACGUUCUCCAUUUCAAAGGAAAGGUGUCAGCUCAGGCAGCGAUGUAAAAGGCUGCAAAGUUUGGGCUGCAAAAUCCCAUUCCCACCGUUUGCCAUGCUGGCCACAAAGGAACAGAGAGUUGGAUUUGGCUCUGCAAGCUGCUCUGCCUUUUCCUCAAGGGAUAUAAACCCCAAGGAGUGACUUGCUUCAUUGAUUCUAUGAAAAAGAGCAGAGAAAGCACUUGGGAAAGUAUGGGUAUGCAGCAGUGCUCAUGGGGAGGAGGGGAGAACAGGGAAGAGAAAGCUUUUUUCCCUGUAUUUUCUACCACCAACUGCUCAGUUUGGGUGAAAUAGGAGAGUCACAUCUUUUCCCAACUCUCUGAAGUGAGGCAACUUUGCUGAGGCCCCGGCUUGAACCGGACUGUGCCCAGAUAUCAUCAGAUCCUGCACAAGAAAAAUAAAGAGCUCAAGUUGCAAAAGAAGAGCGAUGGAGGAGUGAAACUCGAGAGGAGCAUGCAGUUUGCUGACAGCUCCCUGCAGCUCAAACCAACCCAUCAGGGCCGCAGUAAAGCCUUGGAACAGCAGCAUUGUGCUCCAGGAAAAUCAGCAUGGCGCAGCCGGGAGGGGAUCAUGCUCAUGCAGAACGAUCUCUGCAGUGGCACCAGAGGAAGAGAUCACACCAUUUGCAAAAGCAAUCUGUGCAGGUGAGAAGGGAAGCACAAGCCACACCAGCAGCUCAGCUAAUCAAAAAGGAUCUAGCAUUAAUAAGCCAGAAGUGGAGGAAAAGAGAUAAAACCUGGCAAGGCUGUUGGCAGAAGGAUGCUUUUCUCAUCUCACCAGCAGGAAUCCAACCCACAAAACCAAAUGCAUUUCUUACAUUAGACGAUCAAAACCCCAUCUUAAUCCUGAGAGACUUCAGGUGGCAUAGCAUGCUGUUAUUUAAUUGCACCUUCCAGGGCUGAUUAACUAUCCAAGCAGCAAGGCAUCUCCACCUCCAGUAAAAGUAAAGGAAGAGAGAGCAGUGGGAUGGAACCUCUGGACCAAGAAGGUAUGACAGCCCACGACAGUGGGAUCAAAGUAAUUCCAAGUUGAACAGAGUCUGAUCUUAGUGAGGCUAACUGGAGUUUUAUUCCCAGUAUCUCUAAGGGCAUCAGUAGUGGUUGUAGAUCCAGGCAGGGUAUGGGUGAGAUGGGGUGCAGGUGGGCUGGAUGCAAUCUGCUGGAUCCCAGCCUUGUCAGGAAAUUUGGUUCAUUCUUCAGAGCGAUGUUGUCAGUGACCUCCGUUGACUGUGUGGAGCAUCACAGACAACCCUGUGAGCACAGCCCACCUCUCCACUCUGGGAAAUCGCUCAGAACACCAGAGUCACAAGUAGAAAAGUGCCUGAGCCAGCAGGAACAGGCCUUCAGCUGGGAAGGUGGGUAAAUUUGGAGCAAGAAGACCAGUGUUUUUGCAAAAUGAAAUUCCAGAAUAACUUCAGAUUGCCUUGGUUAAAGCCAGAUUUGUUGCCUUGCUUCCAUUUAAGUUAGCUGUGAGGUUGCUUCUUUUCCAUAGGUGUUUCCGUGGCUACUUAAUGUAGUGAGAGCUCUAGCUUCUCACUUGGAAAGUAGGAAUUGGGACAAAUUUGAAGAGCUUUUAAAGGGGUGAAAAAAUAGCUGAGUCAAUUUGGCCUCUCCUUUACUCAUCCACCCUCCCUGACAAGACAGAUGUGACAUUGGUCUCCACAAAAUGAUUAGAGGUGAGACCUGUGGGCAAACUGGGAAGUACAGCUCUGCCUGUCCCAUGCGAUCAUCCCUACUGAAAUGUUUCAAAUAAGCCUCAGCUUGCUUGCAGAUGUCAGGAUGAGGCAGAGAAGUUCAUUUCCUCCUGCAAGUGAAAGGUCACCGAGGAGCAGGGCUCGUGGCAAUCUCCAUGUGUACCCAGCAGGCAUGAUGAGAGGGACGUUUGCCACACAGGCAGUGCCUGUUGCAGCUCUGGCUUGCACUGGUUGUACAUAUUCAACCCCAACCACCCUCUGCCUUCCUAAAAGUUGGUAAGUUACUUUCCCUCUGAUAUUCUGAAGAGCAGCUCUUCAAGAUAGGUGACUUCCAAAGUGGCUGAUUGUGCAGACGUGUCAUGGCAAACAGGAUGAGAAUGCGUGCAGCUGGAGGAGUGCUGGGGCUAUGUAUUUUGCAGAGUUUAGAGUGUUUGUGAGCAUGGCCUGAGUCAGCAGUCUGUGUUUUCUCCCAGGCAAGAAGAGAUAUUUCAUGCAAACUUUGCCAUCCUGUUCUCGUUUCCUGUGUAUAAGAAAUGACCUGAAAGCAGAGAAGGAGACAAUGCAGAAAACUGUGAUGCACGAGGGAUACUAAUAAGCCAGGGGCAUUUCAAAACAAAGCUUUUCAGCAACUGAAUUAUUUAACAGCAGAAGAGUUGGAGAAAAGGAGGGGAUUUCUGAGCUGGCAGGGUCUGCUCUGUCUAUAGGGCUAACUUGGCACUCCUCCGUACAAUGCUGGUGGAUUUACUCCUGCAAUCUGUGCUGAAAACAGGAGAUCAAGGGGUUUUGAAGGCUACUGAGUGUUGUGUCUUUGCUUUCAACAAAGCUGUAUGUUCAGAAGGGAGUACAUCCACAGCGCUGUGGGUGCCACCUGUCACUGCUACUUUUUCCAAUAUUAAUCUUAGUACUCCUUCUCAUAGCAUCAUUAAGAUUGGAAAGGACCUUCAGAAUCAUUCAGUUCAACCAUCAACCCACCCACCAUGCCCACUAACCACGUCCUUAGUGCCACGUCAACCCUUCCAUUCCAUGCACAAAUCCUUUAAAGGUCCAGUUUUAAGGAAAUAUGAAUCCCAUUUUUUGAAACAAAAGGAUUAUACAAAUCCUAUUCACAACUUACAACAGUGCCAUGCUUUCUGUUGCUAGGAGUUCCUCUUAGAAAAUCAGCUCAGCUUUUGGGGGUCUGCCUAUCCGAUAGGGUAACAUACAGCUUGAAUGCAAGCCAGUCAAAGCUCAACACCUCAGCAAACUCAGUCCUCUGAGAAGCAGAAGCUGAGCAGCCCACGUGGGUGCUACUGGAGUCCUCCUCUGGAGAAGAUGCAGAGCUGAGGUCUGGAUCACACAUGGCUGGGAUGGUCCCAGCAGAGGCUUGCAGAGCUCUGUGUUGCACCGUUGCAGUUCAGCCUGAUUUGCAUUAGUGGGGCCUGGUCUGGCCUCAUCUACUGGCUCAGCUUCUCCCCAUUAGUGAAUCCUUUGACACUUACUACCCUUCUUUUUGUUUCAAGAUCACCAUAGAUUGGGAACUCAGCCUCAAAUGAAUUGCUUCAUGUCUAGAAUUUGUCACUGCCCCCAGAUCAUCAGCAGACAAAAUGACUCAAAACAUUCAUCACCAUUAUUGUAAUUAUUACUGUGAUUGCUGCUUAUUCCCAGCAGAAAUUUCUCACCAAAUGAUCCCGGAUAAACCUUCAACAAAUGUUGUCUUAUUUUAAAAACAAAUAAUUUCCAACAAGAAUAGCAGGCAGUUGCAGCUCCUUUGGCUGGUGUGGGCUCAGAGCUAUGAUGUGCAAGCUGUGCUCGUAUGGGUACCAGCACUGGGCUCUGUACAGCCCAAGUGAAAACAGCAAAAGGUAACUGGGAAAUAGAUGUCAACAGUGCUUCUAAUCAUCGCAGGCCUCCUUAGACACAUGUUUUUAAUUGCUUUAAAAUAAUAAUAAUAAAAAAAAGAAACGAAAUAAAAACAGUCAUGAAUAAUCUAAUAAGCUCACCAACCACCUGUGAAAUGUGGCUUCCCAGCUGCACAGUAUCAAACACAGGAAUAGAAAACAGAGCAUUCUCCGAGGCAACGUGCAUCCACGUCAUUCCAAAGCCGCAGAAGAGAAAUGCAUUAAUGCCAUUUUUGGCUCACGGUGUGCAUGCCACUCUGUGUAAGUGUGUUGGAGGAGUGGUUGGUCAGAGAAUCUGCUUUAAAGUAAAAAGCUGGGGAGGGGAUAUGGAGGAGGAAGAUGACAUCGUCGACAAAACCCCGUGUAACAGUAAUUUAAGGGAUUGCAAUUUGGCAGGCAGAAUUGCUUAAGAAUAACGAAGCAUGUUUGCCUAAUAUAAAGAUAUUCAGGAGUAAGUGCUCAAGCAACGUUAACAUGUAGAGCUGCAUGGGAGGCUUUAUUCAGAAAGUAAUUUGUUUUCCUGCUAUGAAAAGAGGGUUAUGUUUGCUGUGUUUUGGAGCCACCCCAGCACGUGUCCUCGCGACGCUGUUUUUCAUGGGAAUGAGCUGUUUCAUGGAGGGAAAAAGGUAACAUCCUGACAUGGAGGAAAAAAGAAAACUCUAUUUUCAAGACUGUUCUGACAUGUUUUUCUUCUACGCAGAACCAGACAUCAAGUACAGCUUCUUAGCCACGACACUAAGUGACCCACCCAAAGAACUCUUUUUCCACAAACAAUAUAACGUCGGGAGAAGGAGCCUGAGAGGAAAAGCAAACAGUCCUUAAAGCAACUACUUUAUUUGGAUAGUUCUGAACCACUGGCGUUGGGGGCAGAUUUUAAGUCGGUGGGCGUGGGGAGAGGAAAGCUGAUGGUUUUGAUUUGAAGUAGCCACAUCAAAACCCGUUUUAGUGAAUGGAAUGGCAGUAUUUUGAAAAAUACAUCCUUCUUAAGGGGAUGUUAGGGAAAACAGUCCCGUGGCCUGCUGAAUGAUAAAAGCCAACGUGUUGGCUGAGGAGGAAAAAAAUUGCCUGGAAGUAAGACAGUUGGAUCAGUGCAAGGGAACCUUGUUCUGGUUGGAGCAGUACCUGUUUGGUGAAGGAAAUCAUUAUGCACACGUGUUGCUGGUGGGCAGGGAAGUCCUAGCGAGUAGAACAGACGCCAAAAUGUUGUUCUUUCUUUUCCACCACAUGGACUGCUGACAUGGAGCAGUUGCCACGCUGUGUUGGCAAGACACUAAAAAGCAGUUGUUUUGCUCAGAAGAGAUCUGGAGCCCCAGUUAAAGACCUGUCCAUCCAUCCUGUCUGUGUACAGCCUACCAGCCAAGUCCCCAAGGCACUGCUGAUGGAUGAGCCACAGACCUGCGUGCUGUUCUGCUCUGUGUUGAACAAUAACAUGAUUUGGAGCAAUAAGGACAUGGAAAGUAGCUACUGGGCAGUGAGGACAUCUCUUACUGAGUCUUCUAACCUUUGGCUUCAGCUUUCACUUGUACUUCUGAUCACCACAGUUUACGUUUUAGAGGGGAAUGGUGUUCUGCUUCCCAUGCUAACCAGAUCACUGCAUCUCUCCCAGAUGGAUACUCCCAGGUCUAAAGGAAAUAUAUAUAUAUUUCAUCAAAGUCCAAGCAUGUAGCAGGUGACCACGGUGUGGCAAGAGCAACCAAGGGCCACCAUAGCAGCAGCUUCUUCAGCAGGCCAUGAAACUUCUGUCAAAGGCAGCCAAAGAUCAGGACCUCCACAAAGGUUUCUGAGAUCUGGAAAUGUGUUUUCAUUCUGGUGUGGAACAAGAACCAAAGUACCACAAAGGUUUCUGAGAAUUGGAAAUGUGUUUUCAUUCUGGUGUGGAAUAAGAACCAAAAUAGUCAAAUGCUCCACCGAAAUGGAAACAGUUUUCUUGUUAUUUUUGCCAUUGAAACAUCUGUUUUCAGAUUGAGAUCAGGGUUCUCAUUUAGAUCUUCUCUGCUUAUAAAUUGACCCCAGAAACUCUGAAAACUUUCCCAUGGAAAUAUUAUUAAUGGGACUAUUUCACUGUGAGAUGUUUUGGUUUGGAUGAAGCUGCAUUUUCCAACAAUCUCAUUAAGAUAUUUGAGUGGCUUCAGUCUCAAAAGCACAAACUAUUUUUUCUAGCAUUUUCAGAUCCUACUGCAAAAAAAAAACAAAAAAAAAACCAACAAACAAGCAGUACCAAAGUAACAUUGUCACCGUCAGAUAUGUAAAAUGAGAUCUGUAUUAUUGCCUGUUACAGCCUUUUAUCAACGGAUCUUUGUUCACAACAAAUCUCUUACAAAAAUGAGAAAAAAGAAAAUAUCACAGAAUACCUCCAGACAAGGCUCUCAGUGCCAUUCAGCAAGGAUGCAUUUUGGUCAUCAAUCACCCACAUUUAGGCAAGCAGUUAGAAAAGCCCAGUUGUUCCAAGCCACAAUGCUUUCCUUCAUUACAUUAAUAUCUCCCUAUUAAAAAGACAACUUCAACACAUGAUCUCCAAGAAGGAUCAUAGUGCCUUAUUCCCAAGGUGGCCAUUGUGGCAUUGUUUAAGAUUGAAAAGUUCACGUACUUAAUGCCCCUAAAAAAUCCCAGCUUUGUGCAGAGAGGUUUUGUACAGGCAAUAGUUGAUCUCACACCGGUGCUGCUGUUACUCGGCAGCUCCCAAGACACCUUGGGGUCUCCAACCUUCCCAGUGAGAAGUUAUGGAUACCCUCUCUGGAGAUGGACUUUUGGACUGGAGUCAGGUAUUGAGCAAGCUCUGAGCUUCAAAUGAGUGGGAGCUGUCUGACACAUGUAACUUGUGCUUCGUGCCAGGGCUGGUUGAAGCGCUGACUAAAUGUCUCCUUAUUUCUUCCCUUCCCAGCACUGCAUACUUCCAAGCUGUUGCAUUUCCUCUGCUCAUCUCUAAUUCAGGCUCUUUUUUCCUGUUCUUUUUCCUUGCGAGCAUCCAUAGUCCAGUCUGGGAUUUCACAGAGAAUCUGGUGCCAGGAGCCAUUUGGAUGAUGCCAGCCUGCUGAACACACCCAGGAAUUAACGUGCUUCUUGCCAAGGAGCAGCCUGGCAUCCUCAGCUGCAGGGAGCAGUCCUCAAGGAGCAAGCUGACUUUCUUAGAAAAUGAGCUCUUGCUCCAGAACAAUGCCGUCAUUGAUACCUAAAUGUCAUAUGGAAAUUUCGAGGACACUUGGGGCCUUUCUCUUUCCUGACUCCACGAGACCUGAUCUUAACCCUCGCCAAACAGGAUGUCUGACCAACCAUUAGCUUUGGAUUUGACCCUUUCUUUCUAUUCAUCGUGAGGAAGGGAAGCGAUGCACAAAAAGCUGUAUUUUCAUUAAUUAUCAGCAGUAGGAAUUCACUGCCUGUAACAUCUUCUUGGCUGUAUGUACACGUUUCUAUGUUCAUAAGAUCUGUGUGGGCAGAUCUCUGCUGACAAAGGAUGUUUUUCCAAGCAGCGUUGGGGCUCUGCAAAACCAGCUGAAGACUUGGCUGCUUGAAACCGGUGAGGGGUAGUGUUGCUCAGACCUCUACCAACUAUAAUGCAACCCAUAGAAUCAUUAAAGUUGAAAAGACCAAUAAGAUCAUCUAGUCCAGUCAUCAGGCCAUGUCUGUGACUGCUUUAGAACCUGUCACUCAAUGUGACACCCUUUUCUUGAACAUCUCCGGGGAUGGUGACUCCAUUACCUCCCUGGGAAGCAUGUUCCAAUCCCCUCGACCCAUGGGGAAGGAUUAUGUCUAUUCUCUGGCCAGCAGAAUUUGGGUCUGAUUUCCUCUUUCUUUUUUAUUAAAUGUCAUUUAUUCAGGUCUGAAGAACUCUGUAAGUAGAUUUAGAAAUGAGUCAGAAGUUUUUCCAAGAGAAUGUUAUAGGCUCAUGGAUUUGCCUUGAAGCUGAGCAUCACCAUAGCUCUUUUCCAACUGCAAAAUCAUGAGUCAUUGGAUCCAGCAAGACUCAGAGCUCAUAGGGGAAAUUUCUGAUCAAAAGUGUUUCUGAGCUAUGCCUUGACAAAUAGCUUUUUUUUUUUUUUUUUCCCCCAAAGAGGGAAGUACUAUUAUUACCUUCUCUCAUAUAGGGACCUUGAAUGACUUACCUCAGUAUCUCUUCACGUAAAAACAGCAGAACAAAAAGCAUUCCAUGGAAAUAAAGAGAGGAAUUAAUAGGGUGUUUUCAGUAGGAAGCAUCUCACUAAUAUUUUAGUCCUUCUCAGCAGAGAGACUUGAAAACAACAGCCAAACAUCAAACUACGUGAUAAAUCCCAGUGGCCAAAGGCUUCACUCAUGGACGUGUUUUUCCCCCUUUCUGACCAGUACAAGACAUACCUCACAUCCCAGAAGCAGAGGCAAAACUCAAGCUAAAUUGCUGCUGCGACAUUAAAUUAUGUUUUAGGGCCACAGAAGGGCUUUCUGAGAUUAAAGAGAGGGAAAUGAAAGCCAACAGUGAUUUAAAUGAAGGUAGAAAACAGAGCAAAAAAGGACAAAGUGCUCUGGAUAGAACUUUCCUCAAAGCACACUGAGAUCAACGCGAGCCAUAUUUCUUAUCCAGACAGGUUUUGCAGCAAGCCUGUGGUUAAAUGUCCAGUUACAGUCUUUGUUUGGUCCAUGGCCACAGAGAAGCAGAAACUGCUUUUUCUCCCAGAGAAGCAGUUCCUUGCCAAGUAUCCCCACACAAAGAAAACAAACACAGGAGAAGGCAUCAUUGCAGAUACCCAGGGAGAUAAGCUGCAAAAACAUGUGCUCUGGGCAAAAGUGCAAGGUGCAGAAUGUGAGUUCAUGAUCUACAUGUGUUCUUCACUCUGUUUUGUUUAUUUUUGCAUGGUUUUGAUGUGUUAAAUUAAGGGAUAGUUCAUGGCCGUAAGUCAUCUUCUUGCUGUCGGAAGCCAAAUAGUGGGAAGCAGGUAUCUCGCACAUCAGAGGCCAGCUGUUUCACAGGGAGACUUCAAAUGACUAAAGUGAGAACAUGAGUGGUUGUGCCGUGGCUCAAAAUAUUGAAGGAACUCCAAAGUUUUCGGUACAAAAAUUGCCUUAGGUCUCAGCUGCAAAUUAGAAAGGGAUGAAAAUAUCUGCUCCUCAAAGCGUUUCAGUGAUUGAGAUCAUCAAACUAUCAGAACUGGGGCUGAAUUUCCAUGAUCCUUCUUGGUACAGUUCCUGCUCCAAAGGCUUUAUUUGGAGCAGAACCAGCCCGUGCAGCACGUAGCGGUGAGUCCAAAGAGGUGAUCCCAGCCCAUGGUUGGCUGUACUCUGAUUUAACACUCAUCUGACCUUACUUUCAGCAUAGUGGAGGAAAAAAAUGACCCAUCCUAACUCAGCCAUCCAGUUUCCUGCUAAAUCUGUGGGUCCAACUGCCUCCUGAUAUUCUGUGUGCAAUAUGAGGUGGAAAUCUUUAGAAGGGCACAAGCAAAGAGAUCCUACAGUUUGGAGAAGAGAUGGAUUUUCUCAGCACUUACAAAUGGAAAGUUGGACAUUUUUCUUUUCCUUUUCCAAAAUAUUUUUCCCAUGCAGGCAGCUGGCUAUAUUACAAAAUUAGUGCAGCACUGAUCUGUAAGUGCAAAGACACCGUAAGGAAUUUUGGAUAAAGUCUUGAGGGUACGAUCCUGCUCAAAUCUGGCUGUUGGCCUUUGAGAACCAGCUUGAGUUUUCCUGAUGUGUGUUUCCACAGUGCUGGUGGUCUUAUUAACCAUGACAAGUUAGGCAGCAACAAGACAACAAGGAAGAAUCAAACCUUUUCCAUCAUUACGGGGAAAAACUGAGUAUGCAGGAGCCACAGCUACUGACAUUUAAAAUCCAUCAACCUUUAGUGUAGAGAUCCAUGCUGUAGCUUGAUGGUAAACUCAGUGGCAGUAUAUAAAGCAGAGUAAUUAAGCUUUGCUAUUUUUUAAACAUGCUUCAGUCCCCAAAAGAGUUUGUAUAAAAUGCUCUUAUGGACUAAUCCAUCAGUGUGGAUGGGGAUUGAAUUCAUCUAUUAAUUUGUUUCCAAUUAAUAACCCAAUCGAUUCAGAACAAAAAUUACUUUUUGCAGCCAUUCUGUAUUUUCCUUUCAUAUUCACCAUAACUCACUGAUGCCAAUAAAACCACCAGGACAGGACCAAUGGCACCAAUAGUCAUGUCACUAACUCACAGCUCAGCAUCAAGGUUGCAGCUCUCCUGUGUGUUUUCCCAAAUCCAAUUUAAGCUCAUAAUAUACUUUAUUAGCUGAAGACAGAAUAUUUAAACUCAAAAUAUUUUGUUUUUUAAGUUUCAUCUUUUGAAAUGGCAAUUGGCAAUAUUCAAGCCACAUGUUAGCCACUUGUUUUUAGGACAGAGGGUGUACCUUAGUACAAACCUUUCUCUGUUUCUUGAAAAAACAACAAUAAACCACCCUUUGCCUUUUAUCCACAUCUGGCUGCAGCAGAAACAGUGACCCAUGGAAUUCAAAAUUUCAUACUUCACUGCUGCAGGCAAAGUCCAGAGGUUAUUCUCACUGUGUUUGUGAAAGAUGUAGCGCUGUCAGGAGGAGAAGUGCUUAUUGAAAAAACACGUGGGGUUUCUGUUUCCAAAAGUUAUGGAAUUAAGCAGUGAUAAAAGACUUUUUAAUCCCAGUAGUUGUUCAUGGGAUUUAAUAGGGAACGGCUCAGUUGCUAAUUGCAAGACAAGAGUAAACAUCCCAUGUCAGAUCUCAUGCGUGGAGUGCUACAGCUCAGCAGCUCUGCGAUGCAGAAGUAUCUCCCCAAGGGUCUGCAAUUCCAAGGAGGCUGUUAAGUAUAAAUUACCAAUAAUAGUAACCUCGAUUUUAAGCUUAUGCUAAAUAUAUUGCAAUACCACAGUAAGUCAAGCUUUCUAAGAAUUCAAGGAGGGUAAGAAUGAUCAGAAAAAGGAGGGUGAAUCUAAGUUAUUUUCCUAAUGCCACCAUCCAAAGAUCAUCUUUGUCCAUUUCUGAAGGCCAUGAAAUAGAACUUAAGGUUGGUCUGAACUGAGAAACUAGGAGUUACAGUCCAAUCCUUAUUCUUUCUCUUAUUCUGUCUGAGUAGCAGCCUGUUACAAUUACUGCAUAACCUUUAGAAACCCUACGCAUGAGAUGGAUGAGUCCAAAAUCUACCAUUAUGUUAGUGGCGUGGUUUAGUGCACAUGGUGAUGAUGGGUUGCUGGUUGGACUACGUGAUCUCAGUGAUCUUUUCCAACUUUAAUGAUUCUAUGAUUCUAUUAUUAUUAUUUUAUCAUUCCUCUAACUUAUCACUUGCCCAACCUCAUCACUCAAGUUGCCUUCAUCUGGUGUAAAGGACUCCCCACAUUUAAAGUUGGACAGUUUUGUGGAUGGGAAAAUGCAGUCAAGUGAAUGCAUCUCUGUUGGAAAGAGAUGUGAAAUCCUCUGGCUGCCUCACCAUUCCUAAGUGAAUUUUUGCCCAUGCUAUGCUUUCCCCCAGCAAGAUCAACACACUGCUGCUUGGAAGGGAAAUGUCUGAUUCCCAAAUCUGGUUCUGGCUGGCAUGCUGAUCCUAUCAUCUUUCAUGUGUGUGCAGGGAGGGGGGACUUUACAACUUUAAUGAUUGCAGAAAGAAGUUCAUCUGCCAGUGCGACCUUUAGGAAGCACAUUUCCUUCUGCCUCGCAUGUGAUUCUGAAAAACAUUUGGUUGACAUCUUUCUUUGAAGCUUCCCAAUCAUCCUACGUAUCUACAAAAUCCGAACAGCAAACCAUUGACAGAACCACAGUUUCACAAUAUUUUGAUUAAAGAACAACUCGUCCUCUCUGCUUUGAUGCUUCCCUGUCUGUGUUUCCUGGAGGCAGAAUUUCAACACUGAGCAGGACAUUGGAUCUCAGCCAUUUAAAGGGGCAAUGCUUUUUCUUUGUGACGUUUGAUAAGGAAAACACCCUGGAAGCAGGGCGUGAAGCAGGUAUUUAAUUGCUUUCCUUUCUUGGGACACUCUGGAGGAUGUUUAAGUCCUUUCCUGACUAAUCACCUUCUUUAAUUACAUCAAACAUGCUUAGUGUAGAUGCAGAAUACGAACAGCAUUCUUAUAGUUGUGUUUAUGCUUUCACUAAACAUUAUGCACAAUAACCUUUGGAAUUGAAACAGUGACAAGUGAAACAAUCAUUCCAAGAAGAAAAAUGCUUUACAUAUAUAGUGUCAUUGAUAAUUUCUAUUAGAAGAAGGAAGAUCUGAGUAAUAAACUCCCUAUUAUUUGUUUUAAACCCCAAGUCAGCCAAUGCACUGCAUCUUAUUAGUUAUAUGGGAAUCAUGGAAGUAUUUCUUUCCACUCAGAUUGCCUAAGAGUUAACCUAGGCAAAUGGCAGAGCGUGCUGAUGACACCAAGACCAUGUAGAUAAAUUUCAUAUGCUUUCCAACACCAUCACAUUUGGUUUAUAUCAGCAGUGCUGAAUUCCUCCGUAAUUCCCAAAAUUGCAUUCCAAUUAGUUGACAUCCACAUUAGCUGGAUGUUAAUCUGGUUAAAAAUAAAUGCAAAUGAACUCA